UCAAAGAAGCAAACCCACAAUUCCUCAGGAGUGCUUCACUUUGUUUCCUGGAGCGUUCGCACUCCAGGACGCACUGACAGGGCAGGGCUAUUCCUGUCCCUUCCUCUUCUGCACUCCGAGCGAGGGCAGUCCGCUGACAAGGAACCCAGAAACAGGGUUCCCUCAGAGGCCACUGCUAAGCCCUUCCUGAAUACAUUAACAGGAAGUCAGAUUGUAGCCCUGGGUGAAGACGCGGCAAGGUCAACAGGCAAAACCUACCAAGCCUACCUGCAAGUUCUCUCUGUUUCUAAUUACUCUGAAAAAACAAACAAACAGAAAAUGGAAUCCAUCCGACCAAGCCAGAGGAAGAAAAGAGCAGAUUUAUAAUUAGACUGCAAAGCUGCUUCUUCCAGAACCUUCAUCUGGCUGUCCUUAAUGCCCUGAGGAUUUUGGCCAUACUUGACAGAUAACAAGUAUCCUGUGUUUCUUUAUAACCAUCUGAAAGCCUGAUUCUUCUAAACAAGAAUGCAUGCUAUUUUAAAAAGAAAAUACCUCUGAAAAGGAUCUUAAAGGUGAAGAAAAUUAAGCAAAGAGAAUACUUCUGAAGCAGGCUCCUCAGUGCACAGUGCAUAACCCUGGAAACACGACGCAGACAAUGGGCGGACCGCUUCUGUGGGUUUCAGAUGCAGGCAAGCCUAACACUUACCUUCCGAUCCUCCACAACAACUUACCCAACACCUAACCCUGAUCCGAAAAAACACUAGAAGCUAAGCACUUAAAGAGUUCUGAAAUCCCACAAGAGGAGCCGGAAAACUCAAACAACACACUCCUUCUUAGCCAGAGGGAUUUUUAUGCUAUUACAGACUUCAUCUUAGAACAGCCAACUACUCCGCCCAUCUCUGAUUGGAAAGGAACUAAAAAGAAAAUGCUUUAUUUUUAAAAACACGAGUUUCUAAACCAUGACUCUGCCUUUGAACAGAAUUAAUUCUUUGGAGUGAACUUCUGUGGUCUAUAAUUACUAUGCUGACAUUUCACUUGAUUGUGAUAUCCACGUGCACACCCUUCGCAUCUCCCUUCCUCCCUCUUUCUGUUUUUGUCUCCGUCUGUCUGUCUGUCUGUCUCUUACGCGAACCAGAAUGACUCACUGUUCUGAAAGAAUUAUAAUUUUCUGCAAUGUCACGGGACACCUAAGAAUUAUAUCAGGGACAGACUUCUUAAGCUUCUAUUUUACCUGACCUCCUCUCCUGCUCAUUUAAGUAAAUUAUUUGCUGGUUUGGAAAGCAGGAGGGGGAGAAAAAUCACAGCGUCUCUGUUCUCUGUUUUGCAAAAGGAAAGGACAGGUCCUUCAGAAAAUAUCGCGAAGCAACCAUGAGAGAAAGCUGCCAGCAGCCAUGGUGGUGUACAGGGAUGGGGCGAGAAGGGGAGACAGACAGCAUGGGAACAGAAUGAGGAUCACUUAAGAGUUAAAAGAAUUUCAGGCAGUGCUGAUGCCUCUUUUUAAAAACAAGGUUGGCAAUUGCUAGUGAAUGCUACGUUAAGAAAGAUUCCAAGGCUGCCGAGGAAGAUUGCCAUGAUCCACUACGGACAUCUUUGAUGAGCAUUCGCGAUGGGAGGGCUAACGUUUAUGCCACACAUUUGUCAUCUCUGGAGGAGAACACUUAAAUCAGGGGACGAACCACAGAAUGCCAGCAGGCCCACCUACCCCAGGGAUGCCUCCCCAGCAGAGAUGCGGAGCCGUGAAGGCUAGCACGCUCCUUUUUACUCCAAAGCGGUAGCAACCUGUGUUGGAGUUGUUCGAGUAUGUGUUCUAAAUGUGGACAUUCCUCAAGUUCCUAAAACUUAUGCGUCUACUAUGAAUACAGCACAUCUGAAGGCAUCUCCUAUUUUCCCAACGCAAGAGAAAAAGCUGGAUUUGGGCUGGAGGAACUCUUAAUGGUACGUCACAGUGGGUCUCUUUUUCUAUUCCAAUCAGAUAUGAGAAGAAAAAAAAUUUUUUGACAGAAAUGCCAAUAAAUUGGGUAAAAACAGAAAACUGCUUAUGUGGCUACUAUAAAGAAUUUAUUUCUUCUCGGCCCCUUAAUAUCCACAAUGACAAAACAUUCCUGUGAUAUGUAUAUAAAGAGAUAUCGAGUGACAAGUUUAAAGUAAGAUUUUGGUUUCUUACGUGAUGUGAAAAAUAGAGAAUUAAGUCAAACUGGGGAAAAGCUGUCGUCUUCUUGCAAUGGAAUGAAACUCCAGUAGGAAGUGUGCCAAUCCAAACUACACAGGGCUGGUCCUAUACUCAGCACUGGCAUCAAAAUGUCCUGGACGAAAUCAGCACUUAGCAACCACCUCUGGUUGUCAUGGAGAUUGGAUAAUGGAGGAGGGAAAUGUGUAUGUUCAAUAACUGAUGAAACAGAGAGAGAAGAUGACACAGAAGGAACUAGGGGAAAAGAACUAAAAACUGAAAUAUGGGUUAGGAUGUGAUACACGGAAAGUGUAGAGGGUCACCAUUUUUUUUGAAGGAAUGCUACUCAUUAAUAUACAAUAAUAAUGAAUUCACAUUCACGAUAACAUAUAAACAGUUUAUCAAACAGUUAAAAAGCAUAAUGAGAAAAAAGUAACUAUAAUAUACUUUAGAAAUAAAUUUAGAAAACA